GAAUGUUUGAGUUAGUAUAAAGCAUGUUGUGUCCUCUUGCCAACAGGUGGCGCUAUGAUUAUAACUGAACAUUUGCCUUUAGAUAUCUUCAGGCCAUGACUCUUAUCAAAUAUUUGAAGUUUGGUGCAGAUUGGACAUUGCAUGUUUAAGUUAGUGUAAAAUAAGACAUUUUCUGUUGUCAGCAGGUGGCGCUAUGAUUAUAGUGGAAUAAUGACUUUCAGAUGUGUUCAGGCCAAGACUCUUUUCGAACAUGUGAAGUUUGGGGAAGAUCGGACAUCUUAUGCCUGAGUUACAACAACUUCUAUUCCCAUGGCGAGACAUCGAAUUUUGUCACGGCACCAUGGCCACACCCUUCAAUGAAACCUCAAGAUGUUCACAAUUUAACAUCGCAAAGGCCUUUAGAUUAGACUGACCAAAAAAAAUUAUAAAAUGUCAUAAAAUAUCUAGGAGUAGUUUGUUACGGCGUAAAACAUGUCACUUCCUGUUGCCAGCAGGUGGCGCUAUAGCGAUAUCUGAAUAUUGGCAUGUAGAUAUAUUCAGGUCAGGAGUCUUCUCAAACAUGUGAAGUUUGGGUCAGAUUGGACAUUGUAUGUCUGAGUUAUAGCAACUUCCUUUCUCAUGGCGAAACAUCGAAAUUUG
ensembl:lncRNA